rnacentral:rRNA from 1 species
UACGUAGGGUGCGAGCGUUGUCCGGAAUUAUUGGGCGUAAAGGGUGCGUAGGCGGUUUUGUAAGUCUUGUGUGAAAUCUUCAGGCUCAACUUGAAGACUGCACGAGAAACUGCAGGGCUUGAGUGUGGGAGAGGUGAGUGGAAUUCCUGGUGUAGCGGUGAAAUGCGUAGAUAUCAGGAGGAACACCUGUGGCGAAAGCGGCUCACUGGACCACAACUGACGCUGAUGCACGAAAGCUAGGGGAGCAAACAGG